rnacentral:rRNA from 1 species
GACGAACGCUGGCGGCGUGCCUAAUACAUGCAAGUCGAACGCACUCUCGUUUAGAUUGAAGGAGCUUGCUCCUGAUUGAUAAACAUUUGAGUGAGUGGCGGACGGGUGAGUAACACGUGGGUAACCUGCCCUAAAGUGGGGGAUAACAUUUGGAAACAGAUGCUAAUACCGCAUAAAACCUAACACCGCAUGGUGUAGGGUUGAAAGAUGGUUUCGGCUAUCACUUUAGGAUGGACCCGCGGUGCAUUAGUUAGUUGGUGAGGUAAAGGCUCACCAAGACCGUGAUGCAUAGCCGACCUGAGAGGGUAAUCGGCCACACUGGGACUGAGACACGGCCCAGGCUCCUACGGGAGGCAGCAGUAGGGAAUCUUCCACAAUGGACGAAAGUCUGAUGGAGCAACGCCGCGCGAGUGAAGAAGGUUUUCGGAUCGUAAAACUCUGUUGUUGGAGAAGAAUGUAUCUGAUAGUAACUGAUCAGGUAGUGACGGUAUCCAACCAGAAAGCCACGG